ACGAACGCUGGCGGCGUGCUUCACCCCUGCAAGUCGAACGGGUCUGCCCUGUUUUUUGCGGGGUGGGUCAGUGGCGAACGGGUGAGUAACACGUGAGUAACCUGCCCCUCACUUCUGGAUAACCGCUUGAAAGGGUGGCUAAUACGGGGUGUUCUGGCUGUGCCGCAUGGUGUGGCUGGGAAAGAUUCACUUUUGUGGUGUUUUGGUGGGGGAUGGGCUCGCGGCCUAUCAGCUUGUUGGUGGGGUGAUGGCCUGCCAAGGCUUUGACGGGUAGCCGGCCUGAGAGGGUGGGCGGUCACACUGGGACUGAGAUACGGCCCAGACUCCUGCGGGAGGCAGCAGUGGGGGUAUUGCACAAUGGGCGGAAGCCUGAUGCAGCGACGUCGCGUGAGGGAUGGAGGCCUUCGGGUUGUGAACCUCUUUCGCCGGUGAAGAAGGUCCUGCUCUUUGUGGUGGGGUUGACGGUAGCCGGGUUAUGAAGCGCCGGCUAACUACGUG
rnacentral:rRNA from 1 species